GGAUGUGAGGGCGAACUGGCUGCAACAUCUGCCACCCCACUGAUCGCCAGCGUUGAUUCGGCUGAUUUGGUUGGCUAGGCGAGUGUCCCCUUCCUCCCUCACCGCUCCACCUGCGUCCCUCCCGAAGUGCGCUCGGUGGAAGAGGACCAUUCCUCUCAGUCAAGGGUAUGCGAGUAGCUGCGUUCCCCUGCUAGAACCUCUAAACAAACCGUCUAAUCCUCUCCAAUCCGCAACACAGCUACGAGAAACUUUUUUAAAAUGUAAAUCUUACUACCUUAUUU
rnacentral:snRNA from 1 species